rnacentral:rRNA from 1 species
GACGAACGCUGGCGGCGUGCUUAACACAUGCAAGUCGAACGGUGAAAGUGGAGCUUGCUCCGCUGGAUCAGUGGCGAACGGGUGAGUAACACGUGGGCAACCUGCCCCAGACUUCGGGUUAACUCCUCGAAAGAGGUGCUAAUACCGGCUACGAAGCCUCCAGGCAUCUGGGGGCCUGGAGAGUUUUUCGGUCUGGGAAGGGCGCGCAGCCUAUCAGCUUGUUGGUGGGGUAACGGCUCACCAAGGCGACGACGGAGAGCCGGCCUGAGAGGGCGAACGGGCACACUUGGACGAAGACACGGCCCAGACUCCUACUGGAGGCAGCAGUGGAGAAUAUUGCGCAAUGGGCGAAAGGCUGACGCAACAACGCCGCGUGAGGGAUGACGGCCUUCGGUUUGUAAACCUCUACCAGCAGAGAAGAAGCGAAAGUGACGGUACCUGCAGAAGAAGCACCGGCUAACUACGUGCCAGCCGCCGCAGUAA